rnacentral:rRNA from 1 species
CGAAGAACCUUACCAGCCCUUGACAUCCUGCGAACUUUCUAGAGAUAGAUUGNUGCCUUCGGGAACGCAGUGACAGGUGCUGCAUGGCUGUGUCAGCUCGUGUCGUGAGAUGUUGGGUUAAGUCCCGUAACGAGCGCAACCCUUGUCCUUAGUUGCCAGCAUUUCGGAUGGGAACUCUAGGGAGACUGCCGGUGAUAAACCGGAGGAAGGUGGGGAUGACGUCAAGUCAUCAUGGCCCUUAUGGGCUGGGCUACACACGUGCUACAAUGGCCGGUACAGAGGGCCGCAAACCCGCGAGGGGGAGCAAAUCUCACAAAACCGGUCGUAGGUCGCAGUCUGCAACUCGACUGCGUGAAGUUGGAAUCGCUAGUAAUCGCNAAUCAGAAGUGUCGCCAGGUG